rnacentral:rRNA from 1 species
GUUAUAGGAUCAAGCGACUAAGUGCAUCUGGUGGAUGCCUUGGCGAUGAUAGGCGAAGAAGGACGCGUUAGCCUGCGAAAAGCUACGGGGAGCUGGCAAAUAAGCAUUGAUCCGUAGAUAUCCGAAUGGGGAAACCCGGCCCUUUUGGGUCACUCAUCACUGAAUACAUAGGUGAUGUAGAGCGAACUCGGCGAACUGAAACAUCUAAGUAGCCGAAGGAAAAGAAAUCAACCGAGAUUCCCAAAGUAGUGGCGAGCGAAAUGGGAAGAGCCUGCAUGUGAUAAAUCAAACUUUAGUGGAACAGUCUGGAAAGUCUGGCGACAGUGGGUGAUAGCCCCGUACACGAAAGAGAUUGGUUGGUACUAAGCAUGCGACAAGUAGGGCGGGACACGAGAAAUCCUGUUUGAAGAUGGGGGGACCAUCCUCCAAGGCUAAAUACUCAUCAUCGACCGAUAGUGAACCAGUACCGUGAGGGAAAGGCGAAAAGAACCCCGGGAGGGGAGUGAAAUAGAACCUGAAACCGGAUGCAUACAAACAGUGGGAGCCCUUGCAAAAUGGGGUGACUGCGUACCUUUUGUAUAAUGGGUCAGCGACUUACGUUCAGUAGCAAGCUUAACCGAGUAGGGGAGGCGUAGGGAAACCGAGUCCGAAUAGGGCGCAUAGUUGCUGGGCGUAGACCCGAAACCAAGUGAUCUAUCCAUGGCCAGGAUGAAGCUGCGGUAAAACGCAGUGGAGGUCCGAACCCACUAAUGUUGCAAAAUUAGGGGAUGAGCUGUGGAUAGGGGUGAAAGGCUAAACAAACUUGGAAAUAGCUGGUUCUCCUCGAAAACUAUUUAGGUAGUGCCUCAUGUAUCACUGACGGGGGUAAAGCACUGUUAUGGCUAGGGGGUCAUCGCGACUUACCAAACCAUGGCAAACUCUGAAUACCGUCAAGUGCGAGCAUGGGAGACAGACUGUGGGUGCUAACGUCCAUGGUCAAGAGGGAAACAACCCAGAUCGCCGUCUAAGGUCCCAAAUAAUCAGUUAAGUGGAAAACGAGGUGGGAAGGCAUAGACAGCCAGGAUGUUGGCUUAGAAGCAGCCAUCAUUUAAAGAAAGCGUAAUAGCUCACUGGUCGAGUCGUCCUGCGCGGAAGAUGUAACGGGGCUCAAACUGAUAACCGAAGACGCGAAUAUGCACGAUGUGCAUAUGGUAGAGGAGCGUUCCGUAGGCCUGCGAAGGUGUCUUGAGAAGGAUGCUGGAGGUAUCGGAAGUGCGAAUGCUGACAUGAGUAGCGAUAAUGCGGGUGAAAAGCCCGCACACCGAAAACCCAAGGUUUCCUGCGCAACGUUCAUCGGCGCAGGGUGAGUCGGCCCCUAAGGCGAGGCAGAAAUGCGUAGUCGAUGGACAACGGGUUAAUAUUCCCGUACCGAUAUAAAGUGCGAUGGGGGACGGAGAAAGGUAGGUCAGCCAUCUGUUGGAAUAGGUGGUUUAAGCGAGUAGGCGUGUGGCUUAGGCAAAUCCGGGCUGCUAUAACGCUGAGACGUGACGACGAAGUCCUCGGACUGAAGUGAUUGAUCCUAUGCUUCCAAGAAAAGCCUCUAAGCUUCAGCUUUAUAUUGACCGUACCGCAAACCGACACAGGUGGGUAGGAAGAGAAUUCUAAGGUGCUUGAGAGAACUCAGGAGAAGGAACUCGGCAAAUUAUCACCGUAACUUCGGGAGAAGGUGAGCCCAUAUUAAGUGAAGGCCCUCGCGGCUGGAGCUGAAAUGGGUCGCAGAGAAAUGGGGGCUGCGACUGUUUAUCAAAAACACAGCACUCUGCAAAGUCGAAAGACGACGUAUAGGGUGUGACGCCUGCCCGGUGCUGGAAGAUUAAAUGAUGGGGUGCAAGCUCUUGACUGAAGUCCCAGUAAACGGCGGCCGUAACUAUAACGGUCCUAAGGUAGCGAAAUUCCUUGUCGGGUAAGUUCCGACCCGCACGAAUGGCGUAACGAUGGCCCUACUGUCUCCUCCUGAGACUCAGCGAAGUUGAAAUGUUUGUGAAGAUGCAAUCUCCCCGCUGCUAGACGGAAAGACCCCGUGAACCUUUACUGUAGCUUUGCAUUGGACUUUGAAGUGGUUUGUGUAGGAUAGGUGGGAGGCAUUGAAGCGUGGACGCUAGUCUGCGUGGAGCCGACCUUGAAAUACCACCCUGACCCCUUUGAGGUUCUAACCUUGGUCCGUUAUCCGGAUCGGGGACCGUGCAUGGUAGGCAGUUUGACUGGGGCGGUCUCCUCCCAAAUUGUAACGGAGGAGCUCGAAGGUCGCCUAGGUACGGUCGGACAUCGUACUGAUAGUGUAAUGGCAUAAGGCGGCUUAACUGCGAGACAGACAAGUCGAGCAGGUGCGAAAGCAGGACAUAGUGAUCCGGUGGUUCUGAAUGGAAGGGCCAUCGCUCAACGGAUAAAAGGUACUCCGGGGAUAACAGGCUGAUUCCGCCCAAGAGUUCACAUCGACGGCGGAGUUUGGCACCUCGAUGUCGGCUCAUCACAUCCUGGGGCUGUAGCCGGUCCCAAGGGUAUGGCUGUUCGCCAUUUAAAGUGGUACGUGAGCUGGGUUCAAAACGUCGUGAGACAGUUUGGUCCCUAUCUGCAGUGGGCGUUGGAAAUUUGAGGGGGGCUGCUCCUAGUACGAGAGGACCGGAGUGGACAGAUCUCUGGUGUACCGGUUGUCACGCCAGUGGCAUCGCCGGGUAGCUAAAUCUGGAAGAGAUAAGCGCUGAAAGCAUCUAAGCGCGAAACUCGCCUCAAGAUGAGAUUUCCCCAAGGCUUUAAGCCUUUUAAAGGGUCGUUCGAGACCAGGACGUUGAUAGGUCGGGUGUGGAAGUGCAGUAAUGCAUUAAGCUAACCGAUACUAAUUGCCCGUAAGGCUUGAUCCUAUAACCUGAAGCG